rnacentral:rRNA from 1 species
UACGUAGGCAGCAAGCGUUGUUCGGAAUUACUGGGCGUAAAGCGCACGUAGGCGGCUUUGUAAGUUAGAGGUGAAAGCCCAGGGCUUAACCCUGGAAUUGCCUUUAAGACUGCAUCGCUAGAAUCGUGGAGAGGUAAGUGGAAUUCCGAGUGUAGAGGUGAAAUUCGUAGAUAUUCGGAAGAACACCAGUGGCGAAGGCGACUUACUGGACACGGUAUUGACGCUGAGGUGCGAAAAGCGUGGGGAGCAAACAGG